rnacentral:lncRNA from 1 species
AGAAUAGUAAAGCUCAAAUGAUGAGGAUUGCAACUAAAGUUAAAUAUUGUAAAUUGGUAGAGUCAAAAUAUUUAAAUCAGUUAGUCUAAAAGUCUUGAUUAAGUCAUUUGUGUUGCUUAUAACAUUCAGUACCCAGACCCGUGGGUCAGGUUGGGUAUAGGGUGUUACAAAACUAACAUAGAUCGAUCCAAACUUAACCCUAUCAACACCAGUGUCCACUCUUCAACAAACAUACCUAAUGCCCUUACAACCCCAAAUCCCCACCACUAGCGAAAAUAAAAAGCCAAG